ensembl:lncRNA
GACAAAUUUCGCGAGACCUUUAUUAAGGGCCUUCAGCAAAGUGAUGAUACCGCGAGAGCUGACAUGUGACGUAAUUAAAACGCGCGAACGGAAGUGGCGCAGAGCACGAUGGAAUCUCAGUACGGUUGGUCCUUUAGGAACCAGCGGGAAAGAUAAAAGCUACAGUUUCAGCCUUGCUGGGUGAAGUAUGUUUUGACCCCGCUCCCUUUUCUGUCAGAGACCUGCAGAUGGACGGGGUAGUAUUGGAUUGAGUUUUUGUGAUGAAGCUUACUAUGCAGUUUCACUCCUAAGCUAAACUGCACUAUUUCUUCAAAAGCCUAGGAAAAUGUAUUUUGUGUUUGGAGGGAAGCGAUUGCUACUGUUACUUUGAGCCAGUCCCUGAUGCUAUCAGAGAUUCUAAAGAAAAUAAUACACAGCGAGCCAGCGUAUGUAACCUGAAUAAUACAAUAUAGGCUCACGAACAGAAGUUAAUUUUAGCUACUACUCCUAAGAGAAUGAAGUUGGCCUAGUUGAAUUUGAUGAGGUUCACUAUUAUGUGACCAAGAAGGACAUAAUAAAUCAUGGCAUUUGAAGAACAUCCUGAGUUCAAAGGCUGUCUUCAUUCUGACUUGUGGAAAACAGAUUUUAACUACUAGUGAAUAAUCAAUUUUCUGUUACAAUUUUAUUAACAAUUCUUCUCUUCCACUAAUGCUGAUCAGAGCUGCAUGCCAUGAGGACUUAGUAAUAAAACCACACUGGCCCCGCUGUUUCAGUGUUAUCUGUGAAGAGGGGCAGUGGCCCAGGUGGAUGCUCUGGUUAUCGGCUUACAUCCCCAUGCCUUUCACUUGGGCCCUAAGUCCAUUCACUUUCUACAACAUUUUCAUGAGAUUCAUCCUGGAGCUGUCGCGAUCUCAGAGCUAUCGUAUUAGCAUCACUGGUGGACAUGAACACAUAUUGACAAUAGCUUUAACUUCUCUUCUUCCUUAAAGAAACUUCUAAACCAAGGCACCACGGUGCAUCUAUGUGGAUAGAGACCAAAAUGCAAGUUUCCUUUGGUGUCGAUAGGAUAAAUGUGUACUUUGUCUCACUUUUCAAUUAGGGUGAUUGUGCGAUGACUCUAUACUUAGUACAUUUAUAUAUUAUUAUCCUGGGACUACAUCUUCCUCAUCAUAUUAGAACUUUCUGCUCUGAAGGCUGAGGAGUGUGCAAUGGCCUGCGGGCUCAGUGUUGGAUAUUUUAAGUAUGGCAGAGCCAGAGGUGUGCUGAGUGACUGAAGAUCUCUACGUUAGGCCCUGUGUGGAAGCUCUUUGUGUAAGUCUACACUCUCUGCCUCAGAUUCCUCUUUCUCUUGUGUGUGUGGGGAGAACCUAAAAAUAGUGCUUGAAAGCGUUGCCAAGAUCUUAGCUUUGUGUUGGAGAAACCGUCCACUAAUCUUAUUGCCUGAAACCAGAGUCAAAGAAGGUGCUCUGAAAUGAAGGUUCAGAAGAAGAACAAACGUUUCCACAUUGAUUUCCAACAAGGCAUCCAGCCUUCUACCUGGUUACUGAGGAGCAUAUGAAGAUAAAGAGCCGACCACUGACCUUGAAACAAGGAGAGAAAAAAAAAUGGAGUUGGUUCCUGAGAAAUAGAAGUUGUCAAAACAAUACCUACCUAGGCAAAAUUUAAUAACCAUUUUGGAUAAAAG